rnacentral:tRNA from 1 species
GGUUGUAGCUCAGUGGUAGAGCGCUCGCCCUAGCAUGUGCAAGGCCCUGGGUUCAAUCCUCAGCACCA